rnacentral:rRNA from 1 species
AUUGAACGCUGGCGGCAGGCCUAACACAUGCAAGUCGAGCGGAUGAAGGGAGCUUGCUCCUGGAUUCAGCGGCGGACGGGUGAUUAAUGCCUAGGAAUCUGCCUGGUAGUGGGGGAUAACGUCCGGAAACGGGCGCUAAUACCGCAUACGUCCUGAGGGAGAAAGUGGGGGAUCUUCGGACCUCACGCUAUCAGAUGAGCCUAGGUCGGAUUAGCUAGUUGGUGGGGUAAAGGCCUACCAAGGCGACGAUCCGUAACUGGUCUGAGAGGAUGAUCAGUCACACUGGAACUGAGACACGGUCCAGACUCCUACGGGAGGCAGCAGUGGGGAAUAUUGGACAAUGGGCGAAAGCCUGAUCCAGCCAUGCCGCAUGUGUGAAGAAGGUCUUCGGAUUGUAAAGCACUUUAAGUUGGGAGGAAGGGCAGUAAGUUAAUACCUUGCUGUUUUGACGUUACCAACAGAAUAAGCACCGGCUAACUUCGUG